rnacentral:rRNA from 1 species
GCCCUAGUAACGGCGAGCGAAGCGGCAACAGCUCAAAUUUGAAAUCUGGCUACUUUGUAGUCCGAGUUGUAAUUUGUAGAGGAUGCUUUUGGUGAGGUGCCUUCCGAGUUCCCUGGAACGGGACGCCAGAGAGGGUGAGAGCCCCGUACGGUUGGAUACCAAACCUUUGUAUAGCUCCUUCAACGAGUCGAGUAGUUUGGGAAUGCUGCUCUAAAUGGGAGGUAUAUCUCUUCUAAAGCUAAAUAUAGGCUAGAGACCGAUAGCGCACAAGUAGAGUGAUCGAAAGAUGAAAAGCACUUUGAAAAGAGAGUUAAACAGCACGUGAAAUUGUUGAAAGGGAAGCGCCUAUGACCAGACUUGUUUCUUUCAGUUUUGUUAGUUCUCGGACUGAUUUACUCUGUUAGUACAGGCCAGCAUCAGUUUGUUGUCGGGGAGAAAGGCUUAGGGAAUGUGGCUCCUUCGGGAGUGUUAUAGCCCUUUGCAUAAUACCCUUCGGCAGACUGAGGACCGCGCUUCGGCAAGGAUGCUGGCGUAAUGGUCAUCAGCGACCCGUCUUGAAACACGGACCAAGGAGUCAACCUUAUGUGCGAGUGUUUGGGUGUAAAACCCCAGCGCGUAAUGAACGUGAACGUAGGUGAGAGCUUCGGCGCAUCAUCGACCGAUUCUGAUGUUCUCGGAUGGAUUUGAGUAAGAGCACACAGGGUUGGACCCGAAAGAAGGUGAACUAUGCUUGUAUAGGGUGAAGCCAGAGGAAACUCUGGUGGAGGCUCGCAGCGGUUCUGACGUGCAAAUCGAUCGUCAAAUAUGAGC